AUGUAGGCAGACGGUGAUGGGGACGUGGACAUGGGGCUGAUGGAGCACCCAACUGCCCAGCUGUGGGCUGACAGGAUAGUGUGGGUGGUUGAGGGUUGAGCUGGCUUUUGAAGUGUACAGAGAAUUCGCCAGCCAGAUAAGAGCGGAACGCAUCUGAGAGUGAAAAGAUUAUGCAAAGGCUCAGGCGUAUAAAAGAACCAUGUCACAUUCAGGAACUCUGAGGAGUGAGGAGUAGCAAGAGAGCAGUGGGUACUUGGAGCAAAUACGAUUGGAGACAAGGCUGGUGAGGCAGGCGGGAGAAAGCAGGGCUCAGUGUGCCCUGUACUGGAAUCUGCUCUUGCUCUGGGUUGAAGAUAGCAAGUGCAUCUCUGGGCAACUACUGCAGCUGGCUGUGGGGGACUGAUGCAUACUGUUGAGGCUGAUCUUACUCUGUCUCCUCUCUAUAAUCAAAAUGUGUCUCUGGAAGCUACUUCCCACCAUCCCUUGGCCAUUGGCACCUGGGCUUCUCACCUGUUCUGCUCUCCGCUGUGACUUUAUUGCUGAGAUCUCCACUGUGAGUUACCACCCACAGCACGUACUUCCUUCCAGGAACAAGGCCUUGAAACCGCCACUCCGUCAGGUCCUUGUCUUUCCAGUUUUCCUUCUUUGUGCCAUUGGGAUUAUAGAGAAUCAGCUCAUAAAAGUCAAAGUCCCCAGAGGCUGGACUCCAGUUGAACCAAAGGCUGUCUGUCGUGUUCCGAUUGGACCCCCUGAGAUGACUCACAGAGGCUGGGACUUAAACAGAAGAAAAAUUGUUACUGAGAACAAAACAGAAACACAGGCAUUUUGGCCCACAGAUCUCUAUUAAGAGAAAAAUACAAAGAAUAAAUGAGUAAGGCUCUUGAAACCAUUGAAUUGUACAAACUUUGGUGGUUUUAAAUCUGGAUUUGUGAAUAGCUGAGCCCGUUCACUGUCCCAUUUUGGAGAACCAUGAGGCAUUCUACAAUCUAGCCCUUCUCCAGGUGGAUGCUUACCUGUCCGCCCAACCACAUUUAUCUGAUUCUUCAGGGACCCGCUGACUGAGGCAAUCAUGAUCUGGUACUGCUCCCCGGCCUCCAGUCUGUGGAACGUGUGCUCAAAGACGUGCUUGGGAAUAGUCUGAGAGUCAACCUUUUGACUGUGCCUGAAUGCCGACACCGUGUAGGAAUCAACGUCUCCCCCACCAGGAGUCCAGUUCACCGUCAGGCUAUCUGUUGCUCCAUUGGGAGAAAUGUGAAUAUUUUUGACAGCACUAGGAACUAAAACAGAAAAUAAAUUUAAAAGUCAUCACUUAGAGAAUGAACUGUUGAAAUUUUCAAACAAAGUUUUGAAUGCUUCUGAUGUUUUGGCACCCACUGAGAGAACUCACAUGAAAAAGAAAGUAACAAUUUGCCACUUUUCUCUGAUUUUUCUGUGUGAACUAAAGUUGAUGGGGGAAAGCUUAGGGGGAAGUCAAAGCCGGUGAGUGGAAAUGAGGAAUGCUAAUUAUAUAGCGAGGGGCUAGUUAGGGUGUCUUGGUCCAAGUUUUGGUUUUCUCACUCACUAGCUGUGGGACUACAGGCAAAUUACUUGACCUCUGUAAGUUUUAGUUUCUUCAUUAGGAAAAAUGGCAGUGAUGAUAAUACUAACCAGCCCAUAGAGUUGUGAAGAUUGAUUCUUUUUUAAUUUAAUUUUAUUUUAUUUUUGAGGUAGGGUCUCUGUCUGUUGUCCAGGCUGGAGUGCAAUGGCAUGAUUAUGGCUCACUGCAUCCUAUACCUCCUGGGCUCAAGUGAUUCUCCCACCUCAGCCUCCCCAGUAGCUGGGACUACAGGCACGUAACACCGUGCCCGGCUAAUUUUUUUGUAUUUUUUGUAGAGACAGGGUUUUGUCAUGUUGCCCAGGCUGUGCUUGAACUCCUGGGCUCAAGCUAUCCUCCUGCCUUGGCUUCCAAAGCAUUGUGAAGACUGAACAAGAUGUAGACAUAAAAUGCUUUGCUGUGGGUCUGGUUCAUGGUGAACUGUCAGUACAUGUUAACUACUAUGGCAACACUCCUAAAAGAGUUCUAAAGAAGUGAUACCCAAGUAACACUUAAUUCUUAAUCUGUGUGCCUCAGAAGCACCAGCUGAUCACAUCAGUUCAUUGCUAUUUCUCUGAAAGCACCCUCCAACCCCGCCACUCUCUGCUGACAUCAUACUUUAUUUUCAUUCAUCCAGGUUGGACAACAUCAUUGUCACUAUCAACAUGACUUUGUCCCUUCUUGCUGUCUCCCUUUUAUCCCUCCAAAUGCUCAAUCGAAAUACCUGAACUACCCGAAAGUUAAAUGCACCACUGCAUCUAUUCAGGUUCAAGAACAGUAUUUCACAUUACCUGUGAAGCCCUCAAUGAAGGCUGACUGCUGUACAUCCCCGCUAAUCGUCAAGACAAGAAUUUUGUAUUGGCGGCCUGGUGUUAGGGAAGUAAAUCGAUACUCGGUUGCGGUAUUUACAAGGUGAAAAGGAGGAAAUACUUUCAUGUCAUUGAAGAGCAGCUGGAUCUCAUAUUGGUCGACAUCCCCAUUAGCUCCUGACCAAGUCACAUGCAAGUCCUCAGUGCUCCUGUUGCGCAAUGUUAGAUCCUUAACAGGCUCUGGAACUAGGGAGAAAAAUGAGAAGACAUUUCAGGAAAGGAACUGAUCAGAGUUUACCUACAUAAUAAUUUAUGAAUCACAUUCAAGGAACUGGCAACAUCUCCCUUCCCCAAAUAAACCACUAGCACUACUUCAUGCAUAAUUAAACAAGAAAAAUUGGAAGCAACUAUUAACAUUGUGGUUUUUUCCUGACAUAAAUGUUACAUGAUCAGCAUUGGUAGAACAUAAUUAUAAAAUGAGUUAUGAUCUCAAUCAUAAGAUAAAACAAGAAGUCUAGAAUCUAAAUGCCAUGAUGCAGGAAGAUAGGGAAGAAAAAUGGGACAUUUAGCCUUCUUGCUCCCUCACUAUGUUUGCUUUUAUCUACCAAUAAAUAUUCUGUAAUUAUAGGCCAUGGCUUGGCUGAAUGAUGUUAGCACCAAGUGAGACUUACUGGGAAUGUAAUGUACUAAUGAAUAAGCAGAAAAAAUUCAAGGUUCAGAUAAAUUACUAGAGACUUUCAAGUCCAACCAACUGUCAGAUUUUGCAAUCGUUCC
rnacentral:lncRNA from 1 species